CCUACGGGUGGCAGCAGUGGGGAAUAUUGCACAAUGGGGGAAACCCUGAUGCAGCGACGCCGCGUGGGUGAAGAAGCACCUCGGCGCGUAAAGCCCUAUCAGCAGGGAAGAAAAUGACGGUAACUGAAGAAGAAGCCCCGGCUAACUACGUGCCAGCAGCCGCGGUAAUACGUAGGGGGCAAGCGUUAACCGGAUUUACUGGGUGUAAAGGGGGCGCAGACGGCGGUGCAAGCCAGGGGUGAAAGCCCGGGGCCCAACCCCGGGACUGCUCUUGGAACUGAGUGGCUAGAGUGCAGGAGGGGUAGGCGGAAUUCCUGGUGUAGCGGUGAAAUGCGUAGAUAUUAGGAGGAACACCGGUGGCGAAGGCGGCUUGCUGGACUGCAACUGACGUUGAGGCCCGAAAGCGUGGGGAGCAAACAGGAUUAGAUACCCUUGUAGUC
rnacentral:rRNA from 1 species